rnacentral:rRNA from 1 species
UACGUAGGGUGCGAGCGUUGUCCGGAAUUACUGGGCGUAAAGAGCUCGUAGGUGGUUUGUCGCGUUGUUCGUGAAAUCUCACGGCUUAACUGUGAGCGUGCGGGCGAUACGGGCAGACUGGAGUACUGCAGGGGAGACUGGAAUUCCUGGUGUAGCGGUGAAAUGCGCAGAUAUCAGGAGGAACACCGGUGGCGAAGGCGGGUCUCUGGGCAGUAACUGACGCUGAGGCGCGAAGGCUAGGGUAGCAAACAGG